rnacentral:rRNA from 1 species
AGAAUCCUUGGCCUCCCAGAAAUUGAAUCGGCUGGCCGCGUGCUUACACAUGCAAGUCGUACGAGACUCUUAGCUUGCUAAAGAUAGUUAAGUGCGCACGGGUGAGUACACGUGGGUAAUCUACCUUUAAUUUGGGAUAACUCUGCGAAAGCGGGGGCUAAACCCGGGAUAAAUAUCUCAAAACCCUCCGGUUUUGAGAUCAAAAGUGGCCUCUACAUGUAAGCUACUGUUUGGAGAUGAGCCCGCGUACCCAUUAGCUUGUUGGUAGGGUAAUGGCCUACCAAGGCAACGAUGGUUAGCUGGUCUGAGAGGAUGAUCAGCCACACUGGAACUGACACACGGUCCCAGACUCCUACGGGAGGCAGCAGUGAGGAAUUUUGCGCAAUGGGGGAAACCCUGACGCAGCAACGCCGCGUGAGUGAUGAAGGCCUUCGGGUCGUAAAGCUCUGUCAAGUGGGAAGAACCUGAAAAAUGCUAAUAUCAUUUUUCACUGACGGUACCACUAAAGGAAGCACCGGCUAACUCCGUGCCAGCAGCCGCGGUAAUACGGAGGGUGCAAGCGUUAUUCGGAAUUAUUGGGCGUAAAGGGCGCGUAGGCGGCCUCUUAAGUCAGAUGUGAAAGCCCGGGGCUUAACCCCGGAAGUGCAUUUGAAACUAAGGGGCUUGAGUAUGGGAGAGGGAAGUGGAAUUCCUGGUGUAGCGGUGAAAUGCAUAGAUAUCAGGAGGAACACCGGUGGCGAAGGCGACUUCCUGGACCAAUACUGACGCUGAGGCGCGAAGGCGUGGGUAGCAAACAGGAUUAGACACCCUGGUAGUCCACGCAGUAAACGGUGAACACUAGGUGUAGCGGGUAUUGACCCCUGSUNWGCSGCMGYYARYGYRYUNRGWRUUCNGCCYKKRGAGUWYGANCCNGCAMRGUWUAAACUCAAAGGAAUUGACGG